rnacentral:rRNA from 1 species
CCUACGGGAGGCAGCAGUGAGGAAUAUUGGACAAUGGAGGAAACUCUGAUCCAGCCAUGCCGCGUGCAGGAUGAAUGCCCUACGGGUUGUAAACUGCUUUUGUACAGGAAGAAACAUUUCCACGUGUGGAAACUUGACGGUACUGUAAGAAUAAGGAUCGGCUAACUCCGUGCCAGCAGCCGCGGUAAUACGGAGGAUCCAAGCGUUAUCCGGAAUUAUUGGGUUUAAAGGGUCCGUAGGUGGUUAUUUAAGUCAGAGGUGAAAUCCUGCCGCUUAACGGUAGAACUGCCUUUGAUACUGAUUAACUUGAGUUAUUGUGAAGUAGUUAGAAUAUGUAGUGUAGCGGUGAAAUGCAUAGAUAUUACAUAGAAUACCGAUUGCGAAGGCAGAUUACUAACAAUAUACUGACACUGAGGGACGAAAGCGUGGGUAGCGAACAG